rnacentral:rRNA from 1 species
GAUGAACGCUGGCGGCGUGCCUAAUACAUGCAAGUCGAGCGAACAGACGAGGAGCUUGCUCCUCUGACGUUAGCGGCGGACGGGUGAGUAACACGUGGAUAACCUACCUAUAAGGCUGGGAUAACUUCGGGAAACCGGAGCUAAUACCGGAUAAUAUAUUGAACCGCAUGGUUCAAUAGUGAAAGACGGUUUUGCUGUCACUUAUAGAUGGAUCCGCGCCGCAUUAGCUAGUUGGUAAGGUAACGGCUUACCAAGGCAACGAUGCGUAGCCGACCUGAGAGGGUGAUCGGCCACACUGGAACUGAGACACGGUCCAGACUCCUACGGGAGGCAGCAGUAGGGAAUCUUCCGCAAUGGGCGAAAGCCUGACGGAGCAACGCCGCGUGAGUGAUGAAGGUCUUCGGAUCGUAAAACUCUGUUAUUAGGGAAGAACAAAUGUGUAAGUAACGAUGCACGUCUUGACGGUACCUAAUCAGAAAGCCACGGCUAACUACGU